CCUAACACAUGCAAGUCGGGCGGAACACUUGGAGCUUGCUCCAAGCGUUUAGCGGCGGACGGGUGAGUAACACGUGGGCAACCUGCCCUGCAGAUUGGGAUAACUCCGGGAAACCGGUGCUAAUACCGAAUAGUUUGAGGCCUUUCCUGAGGCUUCACGGAAAGACGGUUUCGGCUGUCACUGCAGGAUGGGCCCGCGGCGCAUUAGCUAGUUGGUGGGGUAACGGCCCACCAAGGCCACGAUGCGUAGCCGACCUGAGAGGGUGACCGGCCACACUGGGACUGAGACACGGCCCAGACUCCUACGGGAGGCAGCAGUAGGGAAUCUUCCGCAAUGGACGCAAGUCUGACGGAGCAACGCCGCGUGAGUGACGAAGGUUUUCGGAUCGUAAAACUCUGUUGUGAGGGAAGAACACGUACCAACUAACUAUUGGUACCUUGACGGUACCUCACCAGAAAGCCACGGCUAACUACGUGCCAGCAGCC
rnacentral:rRNA from 1 species